rnacentral:tRNA from 1 species
UAGGGUUAUAGUCAACUAUGAUAUGUGAUUUGCAUUCUCAAGGUGUUCAAUGAACUAACCUUAU